UACGUAGGGGCCUAGCGUUGUCCGGAUUUAUUGGGCGUAAAGGGCGCGUAGGCGGCUUGGCAAGUGGAAGGUGAAAUCCCUCGGCUUAACCGAGGAACUGCCCUCCAAACUGCUUUGCUUGAGGCCGGGAGAGGUGAGUGGAAUUCCCAGUGUAGCGGUGAAAUGCGUAGAUAUUGGGAGGAACACCAGUGGCGAAGGCGGCUCACUGGACCGGUUCUGACGCUGAGGCGCGAAAGCGUGGGGAGCAAACGGG
rnacentral:rRNA from 1 species